rnacentral:rRNA from 1 species
GUCUACGGCCAUACCACCCUGAACGCGCCCGAUCUCGUCUGAUCUCGGAAGCUAAGCAGGGUCGGGCCUGGUUAGUACUUGGAUGGGAAACAUAUACGUGCAUGUGCCAUUUUGAUA